GCCAAUCUUCCCCUGUUUCCUGGCAAUUUAGACCUUUGAAGAAUUGGACCUCUGUGCUACCUCUUACACUUGAUGAACAAUACAAUUUGGAGCAGGAUGGAAAUUUAAGAAGAGAGAGCGAGCGAGUAGCUGAUAAAAGAUGAGUUGGGC
rnacentral:lncRNA from 14 species